AUUGAACGCUGGCGGCAUGCCUAACACAUGCAAGUCGAACGGCAGCACGGUAGUAGCAAUACUGUGGGUGGCGAGUGGCGGACGGGUGAGGAAUACGUCGGAAUCUGCCCAGUCGUGGGGGAUAACUAGCCGAAAGGUUAGCUAAUACCGCAUACGACCGAGAGGUGAAAGCGGGGGACCGCAAGGCCUCGCGCGAUUGGAUGAGCCGACGUCGGAUUAGCUAGUUGGAGGGGUAAAGGCCCACCAAGGCGACGAUCCGUAGCUGGUCUGAGAGGAUGAUCAGCCACACUGGAACUGAGACACGGUCCAGACUCCUACGGGAGGCAGCAGUGGGGAAUAUUGGACAAUGGGCGCAAGCCUGAUCCAGCAAUGCCGCGUGUGUGAAGAAGGCCU
rnacentral:rRNA from 1 species